rnacentral:lncRNA from 1 species
GUCUCGUGUCCCUCCCACAGAACGUCAGCUCCUUGUAACCCAGCUGAACAACGGCACAGACUGUCUUGGAUUCUGGCCCCUCUUUUCUCACUUUCUUUCCGCCGCUUGCUUUAACAAGAGUAAGUUCUGAGUGGAAGUGACGAAUAGACUCUUUCCCUUUUUGAUUCCUUCUUUCCAUGAGUUGCCAGGAAGAAUCUGCUUUCGGUUUUCAUGAAAGGUGCGUCACAGGAGCUUGGAAGCCUUCGAAGAAAACACUUUUGGCUAGUCUUGGAAAACAAGCACAUAGACGACGUGUUGUGGGAGUGAAGAAAAUGCAGUCGGACCCACGGUCUGUAUUAUGAAUGUGUGAUGGGUUGUAUGUUAUCAAGACAGAAAAAUACC